UUACAUCUACAAAUAACAUCAAAGUUGUUCCAACUUCUUCACAAAACAAGGUGUCAUCUCGAAUGUAAUUUUGGAUAGCUGCUGUUAUUUUUACUGCUCAUGUUGCUAUUUCUGUUGUAUUAUACCAUCAUUGUCUGAAGGUUCUCAACAUUGUAAUGCCUAACCAAUGGUUGACCAUUGUUGGCUGAAGAAGAAGAAAAAGAAACAAAAAACAUUUGUGUAAAUCCACAAUGUUCAGUCUGUUGAGAAUUCAACUAAAACCCCAGGAACCGCUUUUUGCCUGAAAGCUUUGCAGUGCUAUUUGUUGCAGUCUUGUGUGUUGCGGACACACAAGCAAUUUGGAAGUGUCAACAUUUAAAUGCUUGACAACCAAAUGAAAAAUGAUCUCCCUAUCACAGAGGCUCCAGAUCUUUUGUGAACUUUUCCUUCUUCGCUGUUAUUUGGUUAAACCUUUUUCAGAUUUUUCUGAAACAGGAACUCCUUUUUCAAGGUAGAAAAAAAGUCUAUUAUUCUGUGAAUUAGACCAGCAUCAAAGUGAAUAUAUAUAACAUUUUGGAAUUUAUAUAUUUGUAUGAAAAAUAAAUAAAAAUAAAAAUCUUGAUUAUGAGAAA